rnacentral:rRNA from 1 species
GGCAGCACGGGAGCAAUCCUGGUGGCGAGUGGCGAACGGGUGAGUAAUACAUCGGAACGUGCCCAAUCGUGGGGGAUAACGCAGCGAAAGCUGUGCUAAUACCGCAUAAGAUCUACGGAUGAAAGCAGGGGACCCGCAAGGGCCUUGCGCGAAUGGAGCGGCCGAUGGCAGAUUAGGUAGUUGGUGAGGUAAAGGCUCACCAAGCCUUCGAUCUGUAGCUGGUCUGAGAGGACGACCAGCCACACUGGGACUGAG